rnacentral:rRNA from 1 species
AGAGACAGGUGGUGCAUGGUUGUCGUCAGCUCGUGUCGUGAGAUGUUGGGUUAAGUCCCGCAACGAGCGCAACCCUUAUCUUUAGUAGCCAGCGGAUAAAGCCGGGCACUCUAGAGAGACUGCCAGGGUGAACCUGGAGGAAGGUGGGGAUGACGUCAAAUCAUCAUGCCCCUUAUGUCUUGGGCUACACACGUGCUACAAUGGCUGCGACAGAGGGAAGCGAAGGGGCGACCUGGAGCGAAACCCAAAAAAGCAGUCCCAGUUCGGAUUGUAGUCUGCAACUCGACUACAUGAAGUCGGAAUCGCUAGUAAUCGCGAAUCAGCAUGUCGCGGUGAAUACGUUCCCGGGUCUUGUACACACCGCCCGUCACACCAUGGGAGUCGGGAGCACCCGAAGCCGGUGACCUAACCAUAUGGGAGGAGCCGUCGAAGGUGAAACCGAUGACUGGGGUGAAGUCGUAACAAGGUAGCCGUAUCGGAAGGUGCGGCUGGAUCACCUCCUUU